rnacentral:rRNA from 1 species
GUACAAAGGUAGCAUAAUAAUUUGUCCUUUAAUUAGGGACUAGAAUGAAUGAUUGAACGAGAUAAUAACUGUCUCUAUUUAAAUUAUAGAAUUUUAUUUUUAAGUUAAAAAGCUUAAAUAUAUUUAAAAGACGAGAAGACCCUAUAGAGUUUUAUAAUUUAAUUUAUAAUUGAUAUUUAGAAAUAAUAUUUAUUUAUUUUAAAUUAUUUUAUUGGGGUGAUAAAAAAAUUUAAUUAACUUUUUUUUUUUAUUUACAUAAAUAAAUGAAUAAUUGAUCCAAUUUUUUUGAUUAUAAGAAAAAAUUACCUUAGGGAUAACAGCGUAAUUUUUUUAUAGAGUUCUUAUCGAAAAAAAAGAUUGC